UUCGGGAAACCGGAGCUAAUACCGGAUAAGAUAUCGAACCGCAUGGUUCGAUAGUGAAAGANGGUUUUGCUAUCACUUAUAGAUGGACCCGCGCCGUAUUAGCUAGUUGGUGAGGUAACGGCUCACCAAGGCAACGAUACGUAGCCGACCUGAGAGGGUGAUCGGCCACACUGGAACUGAGACACGGUCCAGACUCCUACGGGAGGCAGCAGUC
rnacentral:rRNA from 1 species